rnacentral:rRNA from 1 species
UACAGAGGGUGCAAGCGUUAAUCGGAUUUACUGGACGUAAAGCGCGCGUAGGUGGCCAAUUAAGUCAAAUGUGAAAUCCCCGAGCUUAACUUGGGAAUUGCAUUCGAUACUGGUUGGCUAAAGUAUGGGAGAGGAUGGUAGAAUUCCAGGUGUAGCGGUGAAAUGCGUAGAGAUCUGGAGGAAUACCGAUGGCGAAGGCAGCCAUCUGGCCUAAUACUGACACUGAGGUGCGAAAGCAUGGGGAGCAAACAGG